rnacentral:tRNA from 1 species
AUCUGAAUAGUUUAUAAAAAUAUCGAUUUGUGGUGUCGAUGAUAUGAAUUUAAUUCAUUUUAGAUC